rnacentral:rRNA from 1 species
CGUAGGUGGCGAGCGUUAUCCGGAUUUACUGGGCGUAAAGCGUGUGCAGGUGGGCUGAUAAGUGGUGUAUGAAAUCGCCGCGCUCAACGUGCGGGGUUAUGCCAGACUGUCAGUCUAGAGGUCGAGAGAGGGAUGUGGAAUUCCGGGUGUAGUGGUGAAAUGCGUAGAGAUCCGGAGGAACCCCAGAGGCGAAGGCGGCAUCCUGGCUCGACACUGACACUCAGACACGACAGCAUGGGGAGCGAACGGGAUUAGAAACCCCGGUAGUCCAUGCCGUAAACGAUGCCAACUAGGCGCUGGGGGACUCAACCCCCUCGGUGCCGCAGCAAACGCGAUAAGUUGGCCGCCUGGGGAGUACGGCCGCAAGGCUA